rnacentral:rRNA from 1 species
AGAGUUUGAUCCUGGCUCAGGAUGAACGCUGGCGGCGUGCUUAACACAUGCAAGUCGAACGAUGAUGCUGGUGCUUGCACUGGUGGAUUAGUGGCGAACGGGUGAGUAACACGUGAGUAACCUGCCCCUGACUUCGGGAUAAGCCCGGGAAACUGGGUCUAAUACCGGAUAUGACUUCCUGCUGCAUGGCAGGGGGUGGAAAGAUUUAUCGGUUGGGGAUGGACUCGCGGCCUAUCAGCUUGUUGGUGAGGUAAUGGCUCACCAAGGCGACGACGGGUAGCCGGCCUGAGAGGGUGACCGGCCACACUGGGACUGAGACACGGCCCAGACUCCUACGGGAGGCAGCAGUGGGGAAUAUUGCACAAUGGGCGAAAGCCUGAUGCAGCGACGCCGCGUGAGGGAUGACGGCCUUCGGGUUGUAAACCUCUUUCAGUAGGGAAGAAGCCCCUUUUGGGGGUGACGGUACUUGCAGAAGAAGCGCCGGCUAACUACGUGCCAGCAGCCGCGGUAAUACGUAGGGCGCAAGCGUUAUCCGGAAUUAUUGGGCGUAAAGAGCUCGUAGGCGGUUUGUCGCGUCUGCCGUGAAAGUCCGAGGCUCAACCUCGGAUCUGCGGUGGGUACGGGCAGACUAGAGUGAUGUAGGGGAGACUGGAAUUCCUGGUGUAGCGGUGAAAUGCGCAGAUAUCAGGAGGAACACCGAUGGCCAAGGCAGGUCUCUGGGCAUUUACUGACCCUGANGAGCGAAAGCAUGGGGGACCGACAGGAUUAGAUACCCUGGUAGUCAAGGC